ensembl:lncRNA
AAAAUAUUAAUAAAAGGGGUGUGUCUCCAAACAGCCAUCUCUUUCCUGACAAUUCGCUUUGUGCAUAUUCUCUUACAUAUGAUAAGUCAAUAUUGAAACACCUGCGGCUUUUGGUCAGGUGCGGCUAAUGUAUGUACAAAACAGGAUUUUCCCCUGAUUUUAGCUUGUGCGGCUAAUAUUUAGGUGCGCUCUGUAGUCCGGGAAAUACGGUAAUUAUAAAUAUGCAUAUAAAUAUGCUAGGAUGAGAUAGCUGACUUCAUCUAACUAGCAAAUGUUGUCCAGGCUACGUUGGUGAUGCAGUUUUUUUUAAUGUGUAUGAUAUUUUUGUCAUGCGAUUUUAAAGCCGGUCCUACAACCGCAUCCAAGAAUAACAUGCAGCUUAUCUCAGAACUGUCGGUGAAAAUUAUUCUUGGAGCUAGGUUUAAUUGAGCUGCAUUUUAAAGAGGUGCAAUUUUACAAUUUGUGUAUAUUUUCUAAGUUCACUAUUUUGUCAUGUGUUGAGAAAAACACAGAUUUUAAAAUUACAUGGUCUAAUAUUUACAUUUAGCAUAACUGCAACAUGCUUUUUUUUUUUUUUUUUUUAAAGACUCGAAAGGACUUGAAAUUCAAAACUUGUGACUUGACUCGGACUUUUACACCAGUGACUUGAGACUCGACUCUGACUUGCCUGACAUUACUUGAGACUUGACUUGAGACUUGAGGAUAAAGACUUGAGACUUACUUGAGACUUGCAAAACAAUGACUUGGUCCCACCUCUGGUAUAUAU